rnacentral:rRNA from 1 species
UGCAGUCGAGCGGANAGAUGGGAGCUUGCUCCCUGAUGUUAGCGGCGGACGGGUGAGUAACACGUGGGUAACCUGCCUGUAAGACUGGGAUAACUCCGGGAAACCGGGGCUAAUACCGGAUGGUUGUUUGAACCGCAUGGUUCAGACAUAAAAGGUGGCUUCGGCUACCACUUACAGAUGGACCCGCGGCGCAUUAGCUAGUUGGUGAGGUAACGGCUCACCAAGGCGACGAUGCGUAGCCGACCUGAGAGGGUGAUCGGCCACACUGGGACUGAGACACGGCCCAGACUCCUACGGGAGGCAGCAGUAGGGAAUCUUCCGCAAUGGACGAAAGUCUGACGGAGCAACGCCGCGUGAGUGAUGAAGGUUUUCGGAUCGUAAAGCUCUGUUGUUAGGGAAGAACAAGUGCCGUUCAAAUAGGGCGGCACCUUGACGGUACCUAACCAGAAAGCCACGGCUAACUACGUGCCAGCAGCCGCGGUAAUACGUAGGUGGCAAGCGUUGUCCGGAAUUAUUGGGCGUAAAGGGCUCGCAGGCGGUUUCUUAAGUCUGAUGUGAAAGCCCCCGGCUCAACCGGGGAGGGUCAUUGGAAACUGGGGAACUUGAGUGCAGAAGAGGAGAGUGGAAUUCCACGUGUAGCGGUGAAAUGCGUAGAGAUGUGGAGGAACACCAGUGGCGAAGGCGACUCUCUGGUCUGUAACUGACGCUGAGGAGCGAAAGCGUGGGGAGCGAACAGGAUUAGAUACCCUGGUAGUCCACGCCGUAAACGAUGAGUGCUAAGUGUUAGGGGGUUUCCGCCCCUUAGUGCUGCAGCUAACGCAUUAAGCACUCCGCCUGGGGAGUACGGUCGCAAGACUGAAACUCAAAGGAAUUGACGGGGGCCCGCACAAGCGGUGGAGCAUGUGGUUUAAUUCGAAGCAACGCGAAGAACCUUACCAGGUCUUGACAUCCUCUGACAAUCCUAGAGAUAGGACGUCCCCUUCGGGGGCAGAGUGACAGGUGGUGCAUGGUUGUCGUCAGCUCGUGUCGUGAGAUGUUGGGUUAAGUCCCGCAACGAGCGCAACCCUUGAUCUUAGUUGCCAGCAUUCAGUUGGGCACUCUAAGGUGACUGCCGGUGACAAACCGGAGGAAGGUGGGGAUGACGUCAAAUCAUCAUGCCCCUUAUGACCUGGGCUACACACGUGCUACAAUGGACAGAACAAAGGGCAGCGAAACCGCGAGGUUAAGCCAAUCCCACAAAUCUGUUCUCAGUUCGGAUCGCAGUCUGCAACUCGACUGCGUGAAGCNGGAAUCGCUAGUAAUC